UGGAAUGAGAUUGAACCUAGCAAGAGAGUGACGAACCUCUUUGCCUUCUUGUUAAUUGGUUGUGACCGGUUGGUGGUCGUCAUCGGGAAAACGCUUACGGUGGCCUUUGUCUCCUUCCCUCUCUGCCAACAAUUAGUGUUAGCAUAAUAUAAUACACACGUGCAAAAUCAGCAAAUCCUUGGAAAAAUGUCUGGGAAGCCUUGCACUUAUGGCAUAUUGUAAAUUUUGAAUGACGGUAAGCAGCGAUAUGUACGCCUCGAAGACCACCUCUCUAAUAACUUCUGGUGUCCUUGCGUUUUCCAUUCAAAAAUAUGGAAAAAUACUGGGUUUGAAGAUGCACACAUUUACAUGGAUAUAGAUAUAAAUUUAGGUGUGUAUAUUUGAUCCGAAGGCGAUUAGAGAAAAGUAAAGACAAGACAGACAAGCAGUUUCUAAGGAACCUGUCAUAUGCGAAGUAUUACUUGUGUGCUGUAUCCCCCCAAAGCGAUGAACAUUUUUAAUAAAGCUCUUAGCCUACAUGGUCAUCCAAUCAAAAACUGAAUAGCAAGAAAAUACGAACCACAGUAUUUUGUUGCACGUCGCGCGCUGCAGUUGUUUAAAGAAGAUUAUUCUCCAAUUAUUUCUAUAACAAUACUGCACGAGCCCAAUGCCGAUCACAUUGCCGCCUAGUGUACCCUUCGUCGUCGUCAAAUGAAGUCCUCUAACUCACUUUAAGGUCUAGAUCCAAAUAGGAUUGUUGCGCUAUCGAUUAUUAUUAUUAUCAUUGUUAACAAUAAUGUUAAGUAGUCAUGCUGUCACCGGCUGCUGAUUAGAAAUGCUGUACUCUACCCUUAGUAUUAAAAUAUUAGAACUGAUUAAUAUUGUCAAACGAUAACAUAAUAAUUUUUGGAA